rnacentral:rRNA from 1 species
AUACGUAGGGUGCUAGCGUUAUCCGGAUUUACUGGGUGUAAAGGGCGCGUAGGCGGGGAUGCAAGUCAGAUGUGAAAUCUAUGGGCUUAACCCAUAAACUGCAUUUGAAACUGUAUCUCUUGAGUGUCGGAGAGGUAGACGGAAUUCCUAGUGUAGCGGUGAAAUGCGUAGAUAUUAGGAGGAACACCAGUGGCGAAGGCGGUCUACUGGACGAUAACUGACGCUGAGGCGCGAAAGCGUGGGGAGC